CUUGGCGACCAUAGCGCUUUGGACCCACCUGACUCCAUGCCGAACUCAGUAGUGAAACGAAGCAGCGCCGAUGGUAGUGUGGGGUCUCCCCAUGUGAGAGUAGGACAUCGCUAGGC
rnacentral:rRNA from 1 species